AAUUUCAUUGAUAAAAUUCCUGUUUUUAUUGGACCACCCAACUAAAAAAAAAUUGUAGAAAAAAUUGAAAGAAUUGAAAAUUUUUUGAAUUUUGAAAACUUUGAGCUCAAGUUACGGGAGGAGAGAAGGGCAAACGUUGACCAAAAAAUCCAAAAUUUUUCUGUGUCUUAUUGAGGUCAUUUGGCAAUGAUUUUUUGCUAGGUACAUUAAAACUUGAAAAAAAUUAAAAAACGACCCAUCCUAGGGUACACCAAAAAAAAAAAAAAAAAAACCAAAAAAAACUUCUAAAAUUCUUAAAUCUUGACCGUUCAUUACCAAAGAGCCAAAAGGCAACCAAACUAUACGAGAAUGUGCUGAUAGAAUUAUACAUACAUAAUUAAGAUUGGCUAGUCACAGUGAAUGACAAUAAUAGUAGCACAUGUUGUUGUUGUUAGACUGAGAUGAUAAGGUGAUAACAUUCCAACAAUCGUGAGGUUUCAUUUCGUGAUGCUAACCCGUAUUUUCAACAAAAAACUUUCUUCAGCAGGGUAUUCGGUGUUUCUGCGCACCCUGUACCUACACUAGUUAACGUACUUACGUAUAUCUAAUUAACCUACCUAUACAGGGUGUCCGGGGAGUGGUAGUACAAACUUCGGAUUUGGAUAUGACCGGGUAUAUAGGCCUACGAGUAAAAAAACGUAAGAUGUACAAGUUGCCUAUCUUGAAAAUCAAAGGAGCAAAAUACGUUUUCAAAAUCUAGAGCAAAAAUCCAAUUUUGACCAUAGGGGUCAGUAGUAUUUUGAAAAAUGAACAAAAUUACCAGUUAUGACUUUUUGUCCAACUUGCAAACUGAAGGGGCCACAAUCAAUGAUUUUCAAUUUCAAAAAAUCGCGGUGAAAAAAAUUAAUGCAGAAAUAAGUACUACGUACGUACUACUUACUACUUACUUAGUUCAAAAAAUAAACAAAUUUUAUUAUGGCCACUAAUGGGACCCCUAUGGUUUCAAUUCACCACUGGUUUUUUUCUACAGAAAUGUAUUUCAAAUUAAUUGAAAGUGGAAGAUUUUGAUUACUUUCCAAAAAAAAUUAGCAUCAACAAAGUUGGUGGUAACUUGCAUAGGUAGAUUAGUAUUAUGCAAUACAUAACUAAAUUAGGUAUUUUUUUUGCUGGCACUUGCACUCUCACACAAUAAAGUUUCCAGUUGUCUGGAGCAAUCUUCAUGAAGGAGUGAGAGAGACAGCCUGAAAUGGGAUACAUAAAGGAAUGAGAAAGAUAGCACUGAUUGCAUAAGGUAAUGGAGUUUAACAUUGACAGACUAUGCAACAAAAUUAGCUAUUUUUUUGGCAAUAUAACUUUGAUAUUAUACAGUCUCAAGUACAUUUUUUAUUUCAAAACAGGAUGGAAAAUGGGUAUCUAUAAAGAAUAAAAUUGUGUGGACAAAGUAUAGUGCAGUUUUCUUGUUUUCCAUUGCGUGAUGUACGAAUUACUUUUACAUAGGUAUAAGACUAAAGUUGAUGGUACUUCAUUUAUAUAUAGUAGAAGCUUAUUUGGAAAAGCAACCUACACAUGAAAUCAACUUAGCCAAAUUUACGCUUGAUUUGAACCACCCGGGUGAUCAAAAAUUCCAACUUGUAGACGAAAUAAUUGAAUCAAAUUUGAGUGAAAUAGUUUCGCACUUUGCAUUUGAAUCUACUUCAGUCACCGAGGAGAAAUUGACAAUAAGGAUCAAUUUCAGCAGAGUUUCUGGACAGUGUACAGGAAUGAAGUGCAGCAAAUAAAAAUGGCAUCAGGUCUUGUUGAUAUUGUAAAAAAGCUGGGUUAGGGGACAGCCCAAAAUUUCACCAGCCUUACAAAGCUAGAGAAAGGAGUCAUCCGCACAGUGACUGAGAUGUCAAGGAAAUAAUAUAAAGGCGAGGAAAACGCCCAAUUUAAUUCCGUCCAAUUAUUUUUGGACGGAGAAACGAGAACGUCGAGAACUAAUUUAUCUCAAAGAAUAUCUGAGGUGUUACCAGCAGCUACUGAAGAAGAUUUCGAAGAUUUCAAGUCUACUCACAAAUUCUUCAUACAUGAAGGAAUGCACGGAAAAUGGUCCCUAGUUUCAUUUCCAAUGGUAGAGGCUUGCAAUGGGUGUCUGUGUGAAGAAUGUAAAGAAUGUAGCUGUGGGGAAAGUGAAGAAGUAUGCCCCUGUUACAUGAAACACAAACUACACAAUCCAAUGUUGUUUAAAGAAGUUGUUGCUCAAAAAAUCAUGAGAAAAUUUCAAAAUGUUGGAAAUCUUACUGCAUUAUUGAAUAAAAUGUCAUUGUAAGUGUGACAUGUGAGAAACAAUAAACUGACAAAACCUA